rnacentral:rRNA from 1 species
AGCGAACGCUGGCGGCAGGCCUAAUACAUGCAAGUCGAGCGGUUCCUUCGGGAACAGCGGCGGACGGGUGAGUAACGCGUGGGAACGUGCCCUUUGGUACGGAACAACUGAGGGAAACUUCAGCUAAUACCGUAUGUGCCCUUCGGGGGAAAGAUUUAUCGCCAUUGGAGCGGCCCGCGUUAGAUUAGCUAGUUGGUGGGGUAAAGGCCUACCAAGGCAACGAUCUAUAGCUGGUCUGAGAGGAUGAUCAGCCACACUGGGACUGAGACACGGCCCAGACUCCUACGGGAGGCAGCAGUAGGGAAUCUUGCGCAAUGGGCGAAAGCCUGACGCAGCCAUGCCGCGUGAAUGAUGAAGGUCUUAGGAUUGUAAAAUUCUUUCACCGGGGACGAUAAUGACGGUACCCGGAGAAGAAGCCCCGGCUAACUUCGUGCCAGCAGCCGCGGUAAUACGAAGGGGGCUAGCGUUGCUCGGAAUUACUGGGCGUAAAGGGAGCGUAGGCGGAUAGUUUAGUCAGAGGUGAAAGCCCAGGGCUCAACCUUGGAAUUGCCUUUGAUACUGGCUAUCUUGAGUAUGGGAGAGGUAUGUGGAACUCCGAGUGUAGAGGUGAAAUUCGUAGAUAUUCGGAAGAACACCAGUGGCGAAAGCGACAUACUGGCCCAUUACUGACGCUGAGGCUCGAAGCGUGGGGGGCAAACAGGAUUAGAUACCUGGUAGUCCACGCUGUAAACGAUGAGUGCUAGUUGUCGGCAUGCAUGCAUGUCGGUGACGCAGCUAACGCAUUAAGCACUCCCGCCUGG